rnacentral:SRP_RNA from 1 species
GCCAGGUGCAAUGGUUCGUGCCUGUAGUCCCAGCAACUCAGGAGGCUGAGGUGGGAGAUCGCUUGAGCCCAGGAGUUCUGGGCUGUAGUGCACUAUGGUGAUCGGGUGUCUGCACCAAGUUCGGCAUCGAUAUGGUGACCUCCCAGCAGUGAGGGACCACCAGGUUGCCUAAGGAGGGGUGAACCGGCCCAGGUCAGAAUCGGAGCACGUCAAAAUUCCUGCGCUGAUCAGUAGUGGGAUCGUGCCUGUGAAUAGCCACUGCACUCCAGCCUGGGCAACAUAGUGAGACCCCAUCUCU